GUCCUCACUUCGCUGGCACAGAUACUAAGAUUGGAACAAUGUGGAGAUGAUUAGCAUGGCCCCUGCACAAGGAUGACACACAAAUUUGUGAAGCUUUUCAUAUUUUU